GAUGAAGAACGCAGCGAAAUGCGAUACGUAAUGUGAAUUGCAGAAUUCAGUGAAUCAUCGAGUCUUUGAACGCACAUUGCGCCCCCUGGUAUUCCGGGGGGCAUGCCUGUCCGAGCGUCAUUGCUGCCCUCAAGCACGGCUUGUGUGUUGGGCCUCCGUCCUCCUCCCGGGGGGCGGGCCCGAAAGGCAGCGGCGGCACCGCGUCCGGUCCUCGAGCGUAUGGGGCUUCGUCACCCGCUCUUGUAGGCCCGGCCGGCGCUUGCCGACACAUCAAUCUUUUUUCCAGGUUGACCUCGGAUCAGGUAGGGAUACCCGCUGAACUUAAGCAUAUCAAUAAGCGGAGGA
rnacentral:misc_RNA from 1 species